AUGAACGCUGGCGGCGUGCCUAAUACAUGCAAGUCGAGCGAACAGAUAAGGAGCUUGCUCCUUUGACGUUAGCGGCGGACGGGUGAGUAACACGUGGGUAACCUACCUAUAAGACUGGGAUAACUUCGGGAAACCGGAGCUAAUACCGGAUAACAUUUGGAACCGCAUGGUUCUAAAGUGAAAGAUGGUUUUGCUAUCACUUAUAGAUGGACCCGCGCCGUAUUAGCUAGUUGGUAAGGUAACGGCUUACCAAGGCAACGAUACGUAGCCGACCUGAGAAGGUGAUCGGCCACACUGGAACUGAGACACGGUCCAGACUCCUACGGGAGGCAGCAGUAGGGAAUCUUCCGCAAUGGGCGAAAGCCUGACGGAGCAACGCCGCGUGAGUGAUGAAGGGUUUCGGCUCGUAAAACUCUGUUAUUAGGGAAGAACAAACGUGUAAGUAACUGUGCACGUCUUGACGGUACCUAAUCAGAAAGCCACGGCUAACUACGUG
rnacentral:rRNA from 1 species